AUCUCCUUAGUAAGUCCAGUCUGCAGAAAUGAUGGGAGUUGGAAGCCACAGCUCUGUUGUCUUAAGGGCAUUGAAAAGGCUUUGAAAGUUGGUGACUGUUCUCACUUGCAACCCAAGGACACAACUGGAAUGAGGUGGUGAGCAAUGUCCCCAAGCCGUAGUUCAGAAGGGAAUGGAGGCCUUUUUACAAUAUUGAAAUAUCCAGACCCAUCUACAGGGAAGUCUUUGAAAUUCUUCCCACCACAGAAGCCAUGUUGGAAUUCUCAGCUUCAGUCCCACUAAGCCCUUGUGGGAAAGAAAGACUUCAGCUAUUAAUAUUCAAAAAAUAAAAUGAAUAACAAUGGAACGACAUUGGAACACUCAGAUAGGCAACCAACUCUGCUUUUGCUGUAAAAGUCAAGGAACAAUCUUGUGCAUCAAAGACACGAACCAAAAACUGCCUCAAAGCAAUUCAUCUGAACCUACCUGGAAUCUUUGCAGUGCAAAUGUAGUUGGUAUCGCUACCCAUGUACCUGCUGGAGUGCCCUUUGCAUUGGAAGAACAAAGAGGUCAUAGUGUUACCAUGUUUACAGAACUAUGAGAGAAAGGUUGAUAAACAAUUUAUAACCACUUUCACAGCAAAGAACACAUUUGAGCAUUUGGAGGCUGCUAUUUGCGCAGUUAACAAUUCACAAGGUGUGGUAGGUAGCCACCAGGAUGGUCCUCAGUGAUCCCCUGAUAUUGUGUAAUCCUUUUCCCUGGAAUGGGGUCUGGACUUAGUAGUGACUUGCUGCUAAUGAAUAGAAUAAGGCCCAGGUGACAGUGAUUGGAGACACAGUCAUAGAAGGCAGUGUGGCCUCUCGCAUCGUCAUCAUCUGUUCUGGGGCAAGCCAGCUGCCAUGUGUGAGCAGCCCUAUGAAGAGGCCCACAUGAUAAGGAACUGAAGCCUCUCGCCAACAACAUUGUGAGUAUUUUUGGAAGAGGAUGCUCUAGCCUCAUCAGGCUUUGAAUGGCUGUAAUCCCAGCUGACACCUCGAUUGCAACCUUGUGAGACAGAUCCAACCAGCCAAGCUGUUUCCUGAUUCUUCACUCGCAGAAACCGUGAAAUAAGAAAUGUUUAUUGUUUUAAGAUGCUAACGUUUGGCGUAAUCUGCUACACAGCAAUGGCUCACUAACACACAGGGGGUAUUAUGCUUCUAGAUUUAUCCCCUCGUUUAUUCAACAGGUAUUUACUGAGACACUACCACAUGCCUAAGCAGAGGUUAAUCAUCUACCAAACAUAAGAAACAUGUUAAGAAACCCUUCAUUUCUGGGCACUAUAUACAUAGCAUACAGAAAAGGAUUUUACCCUUGGAAAUUUGUGUUUGUGGUGGGUAUCUUUGGAAAUACAAUCUCCCACCUGGAGUUACUACUAUAAAUUUGCUAUUUAUAUA